rnacentral:rRNA from 1 species
UAGGGAAUCUUCCGCAAUGGACGCAAGUCUGACGGAGCAACGCCGCGUGAGUGAAGAAGGAUUUCGGUUCGUAAAACUCUGUUGUUAGAGAAGAACAGCGCAUAGAGUAACUGUUAUGCGUGUGACGGUAUCUAACCAGAAAGCCACGGCUAACUACGUGCCAGCAGCCGCGGUAAUACGUAGGUGGCAAGCGUUGUCCGGAUUUAUUGGGCGUAAAGCGAGCGCAGGCGGUCAAUUAAGUCUGAUGUGAAAGCCCCCGGCUCAACCGGGGAUGGUCAUUGGAAACUGGUUGACUUGAGUGCAGAAGAGGAGAGUGGAAUUCCAUGUGUAGCGGUGAAAUGCGUAGAUAUAUGGAGGAACACCAGUGGCGAAGGCGACUCUCUGGUCUGUAACUGACGCUGAGGCUCGAAAGCGUGGGUAGCAAACAGG